AGUAGUAAGUAACGUUACGUUACGUAGUCGGUGACAGGUGGUGCAUGGUUGUCGUCAGCUCGUGUCGUGAGAUGUUGGGUUAAGUCCCGCAACGAGCGCAACCCCUAUUGUUAGUUGCCAUCAUUCAGUUGGGCACUCUAGCGAGACUGCCGGUAAUAAACCGGAGGAAGGUGGGAUGACGUCAAAUCAUCAUGCCCCUUAUGACCUGGGCUACACACGUGCUACAAUGGUUGGUACAACGAGUUGCGAGUCGGUGACGGCGAGCUAAUCUCUUAAAGCCAAUCUCAGUUCGGAUUGUAGGCUGCAACUCGCCUACAUGAAGUCGGAAUCGCUAGUAAUCGCGGAUCAGCACGCCGCGGUGAAUACGUUCCCGGGCCUU
rnacentral:rRNA from 1 species